UACAGAGGGUGCGAGCGUUAAUCGGAAUUACUGGGCGUAAAGCGUGCGUAGACGGUUAUUUAAGUCGGGUGUGAAAGCCCCGGGCUCAACCUGGGAAUUGCAUUCGAGACUGAAUAGCUAGGGUACGGUAGAGGGAAGCGGAAUUUCCGGUGUAGCGGUGAAAUGCGUAGAUAUCGGGAGGAACACCGGUGGCGAAGGCGGCCCCCUGGUUGGAUACUGACGCUGAGACGCGAAAGCGUGGGGAGCAAACAGG
rnacentral:rRNA from 1 species